GUGGUAAUGCCGGAUGCUCCAGUUGAUCGCAUGGUCUUCUGGGAAAGCUUUCGCGGUAUGGGAUGGGGUCGCGUCCUAUCAGCUUGACGGCGGGGUAACGGCCCACCGUGGCUUCGACGGGUAGCCGGCCUGAGAGGGCGACCGGCCACAUUGGGACUGAGAUACGGCCCAGACUCCUACGGGAGGCAGCAGUGGGGAAUAUUGCACAAUGGGCGCAAGCCUGAUGCAGCGACGCCGCGUGAGGGAUGGAGGCCUUCGGGUUGUAAACCUCUUUUAUCGGGGAGCAAGCGAGAGUGAGUUUACCCGUUGAAUAAGCACCGGCUAACUACGUGCCAGCAGCCGCGGUAAUACGUAGGGUGCAAGCGUUAUCCGGAAUUAUUGGGCGUAAAGGGCUCGUAGGCGGUUCGUCGCGUCCGGUGUGAAAGUCCAUCGCUUAACGGUGGAUCCGCGCCGGGUACGGGCGGGCUUGAGUGCGGUAGGGGAGACUGGAAUUCCCGGUGUAACGGUGGAAUGUGUAGAUAUCGAAAAAAAACACCA
rnacentral:rRNA from 3 species